GUGCUCGAUUUGGCCGCACACAUACCAAAAAUGAAUGCAAUACAGAGAAGAUUAACAUGGACCCUAACAAGAAUGACUUGUGAGUUUAUCAAGUGUUUUAUAUUAAA